GAGACACCGAUGAUGGGGGAUGUUUUCCAGCCCAGAGUUCUGCUGCACCGAUUAGAUGUUAAGCAGAAGCUGAUUGUUAAAGAAGAAGCUUCUUUAGAUCGCAGACCUCGUGCCGACUUGCAUGAUCCAAAGCCCCCCCACAUCAAGGAGGAACGGAAGGGAGUCUACAUCAGUCUGCCAGGAGAGCAGCUCAAUGGGAAGGAGCUUUAUCCAGACCAGAUUAAAGGCAGAGAGCUUCCAGAAGAGAAUGAUGGAAAAGAAUCCAUCAUGAUACAAGAUCAUGGAGAUGCUUCCAUUUCUUCAGAGACUGAUAACGCUGAAAUGGAGGAAGAGGACAGUGAUGUAGAGCACCCUCUCUCUGAGCUGAAAUACAUGUCAAACUCUGGAUAUAAGAAAUGUUCUACAAAGAAGAAAAAUGUGGAGUCAUGUAGGAAAGGCCAAACAGGAGAGAAGCUUAGCUGCAAAGACUGUGGCAAAACAUUUAUUAAAAAAUCCUCUUUAAACGCACACAUGAGAAUCCAUACAGGAGAGAAGCCUUUCUGUUG